UACAGAGGUCCCAAGCGUUGUUCGGAUUCACUGGGCGUAAAGGGUGCGUAGGUGGUGAGGUAAGUCGGAUGUGAAAUCUCGGAGCUCAACUCCGAAAUGGCAUUGGAAACUACCUCGCUAGAGGAUCGGAGGGGAGACUGGAAUUCUCGGUGUAGCAGUGAAAUGCGUAGAUAUCGAGAGGAACACCAGUGGCGAAGGCGAGUCUCUGGGCCGUAACUGACGCUGAGGAGCGAAAGCAUGGGGAGCGAACAGG
rnacentral:rRNA from 1 species